ACUGCACAGCUCGGAGUUGAAGUGCUUACCCCUCUCACCCCGCGCCUGUUGUUGUUGUUGUUGUUGUUGUCGUUGUUGUUGUUGCGAUAUGUCUGCGCCCUGUAAGGUUCAACUACAGCGUUGAACCCUUGGAAUUCUCCCUGGCGUUUCUAGCAAAGGCUAGAUCGGUGCCAGAAUGAUCGAGGGCGUAUUCUUGUGCACUGACUGACGACUGACUGACUUCGUCCUGGGUCUCUUCGAGUCUCCACCGAUCACGCCAUUUUGCCCGUUGCUUGGUAGUCAGGUAGUCAACUAAGCAAUCAAUCAAUUGAUUCGCUUUUGUGCUUUUUUUGAAAAUUUAUCUUUUUUUUUUUUUUUUUUUUUUUCCCUUCUCACCUUUGUCUCCCCGCAAUCGAGGAAAUAAAUAUUUGAGAGUGGCGGAAUCCACUUCUGUUCUCCUUCAUUCAUCUCCCUCCCCCUCUGCUGGAAAAUCGCUGUCUCCCUUCGAAUCAGGCCUCUAACUAUAUACCGUUGCCCAACAUAUCCCUGGCUGCUCAUAUCGUUCCAUCGUACUGUCAUAUAUUGCCAUAUUUCCAACAUGGCUGGCGACGAAAUCACCCAGCGCUUUGAGACGCUGCAAUUGCAUGCUGGUUAUGAUCCAGAUCCGGCCACCAAUUCGCGAGCUGUUCCCAUUUAUGCUACCACAUCCUUCACUUUCAAUGAUUCCGCCCAUGGUGCUCGACUCUUCGGCCUCAAGGAAUUUGGCAAUAUCUACUCCCGUCUCGCGAAUCCCACGGUCGAAGCCUUCGAGAAGCGCGUCGCUGCCCUAGAGGGUGGCGUGGCUGCAGUUGCCGCCUCCUCCGGCCAAUCCGCCCAGUUCAUGACCAUUGCUGCCCUUGCAGCCGCCGGUGACAACAUCGUUUCCACCACCAAUCUCUACGGAGGGACCUAUAACCAGUUCAAGAUCCUCCUGCCGCGCCUUGGUAUCACUACUAGGUUCGUCACGGGCGACGACCCCGAAGAGUUGGCGUCGAAGAUCGACGAUAAGACCAAGGCCAUCUACCUAGAGACGAUUGGGAAUCCAAGAUACAACGUGCCGGACUUUGAGCGGAUUGCGAAGGUUGCGCAUGAGAAGGGGGUACCGUUGGUGGUGGACAACACCUUCGGCGCAGGCGGAUUCUUCACGCGCCCCAUCGAGCACGGCGCCGACAUCGUCGUGCACAGCGCCACGAAAUGGAUCGGCGGCCACGGCACCACCAUCGCCGGCGUCGUCGUUGACAGCGGCAAGUUCGACUGGGGCAAACAUGCCAAGCGGUUCCCGCAGUUCACCGAGCCAUCCCCCGGCUACCACGGCCUGAAACUGUGGGAAGCUUUCGGCGCCGCCGCCUUCGCUACCAGCGUGCGCAUCGACGUGCUCCGUGAUCUCGGCAGCGCGCUGAAUCCGUUUGCCGCGCAGCAGUUGCUGCUGGGCCUAGAGACCUUGUCGCUCCGCUGCGAGCGACAUGCGAGCAAUGCGAUGGCGAUGGCAAGGUGGCUGGAGAAGAAUGAGAAUGUCUCGUGGGUGUCGUAUCCGGGAUUGGAGAGCCAUCCCAGCCAUGAGACGGCGAAGAAGUACCUGAAGCGUGGGUUCGGAGGCGUGCUGUCGUUUGGUGUCAAGGGCGGUGCCGAGGCCGGCAGCCAGGUCGUCGACGGGUUUAAAAUCAUUUCAAACCUUGCCAAUGUCGGUGACUGCAAAUCCCUAGCCAUCCACCCAUGGUCAACGACGCAUGAGCAACUCAGCGAGGAGGAGCGCAUCGCGUCCGGCGUGACGGAGGACGCCAUCCGCUUCUCUGUCGGAACCGAGCAUAUUGAUGAUAUCAUUGCGGAUUUCGAGCAGUCAUUUGCAGCCAGCAGCGCGCUGAGCGGCAAGGCCGGUGAAAAAUGAUAGACUUACGCCAGUGGCUCUGGCCCUGACUGUACCCACAGGCGAGUGCCGGUACCUAAUCUAACAGGCAGACUGUGGUUAUCCCACUUUGAAUGAAAAACAGAUAAAAAGUUGGACUGGUAAAGGGGUUCCGGUGCAGGGCUUCGGAGCCUCUAUAUAUCGUUCGGGUCUAUAUUCUUAGAGAGGUUUCAAACUGCAAUUCAGGCUAUAGGCAGAUAGUAAAUAAUCAACUACUACCUACGAUGAU
rnacentral:sRNA from 1 species